CUAAGAAUCUUCCGCAAUGGACGAAAGUCUGACGGAGCGACGCCGCGUGGGUGAUGAAGGCGGAAACGUUGUAAAGCCCUUUUAUAGGCGAGGAAUAAGAUCCGGAGGGAAUGCCGGGUCGAUGACGUUAGCCUGUGAAUAAGCCCCGGCUAAUUACGUGCCAGCAGCCGCGGUAACACGUAUGGGGCGAGCGUUGUUCGGAAUUAUUGGGCGUAAAGGGUGCGCAGGCGGUUCUACAAGUCUGGUGUUAAAUCCCGCAGCUUAACUGCGGACAGGCAUUGGAAACUGUAGGACUAGAGUUCUGGAGGGGUAGCUGGAAUUCCAGGUGUAGGGGUGAAAUCUGUAGAUAUCUGGAAGAACAUCAAUGGCGAAGGCAAGCUACUGGCCAAGGACUGACGCUGAGGCACGAAAGCGUGGGGAGCAAACAGG
rnacentral:rRNA from 1 species